CUACGGGCGGCACCAGUGAGGAAUAUUGCACAAUGGGGGGAACCCUGAUGCAGCAACGCCGCGUGGAGGAUGACGCAUUUCGGUGUGUAAACUCCUUUUAUAUGUCAAGAAAAUGACGGUAGCAUAUGAAUAAACACCGGCUAACUCCGUGCCAGCAGCCGCGGUAAUACGGAGGGUGCAAGCGUUACUCGGAAUCACUGGGCGUAAAGGACGCGUAGGCGGGUUGGAAAGUCAGGUGUGAAAUCCUUCAGCUUAACUGUAGAACUGCACUUGAAACUUCUAAUCUAGAGUAUGGGAGGGGGAGAUGGAAUUAGUGGUGUAGGGGUAAAAUCCGUAGAUAUCACUAGGAAUACCUAAAGCGAAGGCGAUCUCCUGGAACAUUACUGACGCUAAGGCGUGAAAGCGUGGGGAGCAAACAGGAUUAGAUACCCCCGUAGUC
rnacentral:rRNA from 1 species